rnacentral:rRNA from 1 species
CCUACGGGAGGCAGCAGUUAGGAAUAUUGGUCACUGGACGAGAGCCUGAACCAGCCAAGUAGCGUGAAGGAUGACUGCCCUAUGGGUUGUAAACUUCUUUUAUAAGGGAAUAAAAUGUUCCACGUGUGCGUUUUUGUAUGUACUUUAUGAAUAAGGAUCGGCUAACUCCGUGCCAGCAGCCGCGGUAAUACGGAGGAUCCGAGCGUUAUCCGGAUUUAUUGGGUUUAAAGGGAGCGUAGGUGGUUUGUUAAGUCAGUUGUGAAAGUUUGCGGCUCAACCGUAAAAUUGCAAUUGAAACUGGCAGUCUUGAGUACAGUAGAGGUAGGCGGAAUUCGUGGUGUAGCGGUGAAAUGCUUAGAUAUCACGAAGAACUCCGAUUGCGAAGGCAGCUUACUGGACUGCAACUGACACUGAGGCUCGAAAGUGUGGGUAUCAAACAGGAUUAGAUACCCGAGUAGUC